AUACGAAGGGAGCUAGCGUUGUUCGGAAUUACUGGGCGUAAAGGGCGCGUAGGCGGUCAGACAAGUCAGAUGUGAAAGCCCCGGGCUCAACCUGGGAACUGCGUUUGAUACUGUCUGGCUUUGAAUUCGGUAGAGGUGAGUGGAAUUCCCAGUGUAGAGGUGAAAUUCGUAGAUAUCCGGAGGAACACCAGUGGCGAAAGCGGCUUCCUGGCCCAUUUCUGACGCUCAGACGCGAAAGCUAGGGUAGC
rnacentral:rRNA from 1 species